rnacentral:lncRNA from 1 species
CGGGCAAGAGCUGGCGUUUUACGAAUGCAACUACAUCUUUGCAGUAAAAUGUGUGUCUUUCCGACAGAAUUGUCCAUCUGUUGGUGACCGGGUCUUCAUCAGAAGCUCUGCACCCUCCCUGAGCAAUAGAAAUAGAUGACGCUGGGGGAAGGAGGGCAAGCUAAAGGCAAAGCCCUUCCUGCUCUUGUUUUGGUUGCUUUUCUUUUAAAGCACAGUUGAACACACACACACACACACGCACACACGCACACACACACCCCUUAGAAUAAUGGGGGAGGCAUUUAGCGACAGGCUGCAUCCGCGAAGCCGCGCGGCGGCGACGAGCAGCCAGCCCCGCUCGCUAGCUCGCUCGCAGCUCAACUCAGUCUCCACGGCGGCGGCGGCGGCGGCGGCGGCGGCGGCGCGGACCGAAACUCGCCCCCGACCCGAGAUGCCCAACUCCACAGCGUGCCGAAGGUCGCCUCUCCAGUCUCGCUACAGUGCGCAGGUCGUCGCGGUUUUCGCUUGGGUUUUCAAACAAGUUUCGGGCAGAAAGAAGGAGGCAAAAAAAAAAAAAUCCAAUUAUGCAAAUGGACUCCAGACUGGGAGGCGCGCGUUGGAUCUGACGCCGCUACUGUACGAGUCCUCGGAGCAGCCCCGGGCCGGCCAGAUUUAUGGGGGCGCGUCACGGCUACGCCAGGUCCCGCCGCUGGAGCAUCUCGAAGUUAAUUAAAGCGAUAAUGUCCACUUUCCUGGCGACCCUCCGUGUGUGGGUUUACUAUUUCGCCGUCAAACGCGACCCGGUCGGGUGCGGGGGCCUCUCCCUACUCCUUGCCUCCUUCCCUCUUCUUGUCCCCCCCUUUCCCCUCUCAUGCUCUCCCUUCUUUUUCCGCUCUUUCGUCUUUUUAAGUCGCCUGCCUUCCACUCAGUGAACAAUGAACAAAGAUGUGAGUGAUGGGAAAAGAUCGCCCCCUCCCAACCCCAGCGGUGAGCAAAGCCGGUCUUAAAGUAAAAAUCCAGUCGCUAAUAACAAACUGGGAAAGAAAACUGCGUUCCCAGCCUAGCCUCCCCCUCCACACACAGACACACGCACAUACACGCGCGCGCACACAUACCCCACCCCAAGUUCACCUAAGCCCUAGCCGGGGACGGGGCGCCAAGGCCUGGGCGCGUGGAGCUGCCCAACUCGCGGGGGACCCAG